rnacentral:misc_RNA from 1 species
UAUGUAUUGAGCAGAGGAAGUUUCCUGCAAUAGUACAUAUCUCAUAAGACAAACAUUGUAAGAAUCUUUUUUCUUGCAUGAAUUUUAAGCAGUUACUUUCCACUAUGACUAAGUUAUAAAAUAAAGGAAAUGAAGUCUUCUGUCCACAUUUGCAUAAAAGCCAAAGAACAAUUCUGCGAGAUAGCAACAACCCAUUUCAUACUACUAUUAAGA